rnacentral:rRNA from 1 species
UACGGGUGGGGCAAGCGUUGUUCGGAAUUAUUGGGCGUAAAGGGUUCGUAGGUGGCUUGCUAAGUCAGACGUGAAAUCCCUCAGCUUAACUGGGGAACUGCGUCUGAGACUGGUGAGCUUGAGUGCAGGAGAGGAACGCGGAAUUCCAGGUGUAGCGGUGAAAUGCGUAGAUAUCUGGAGGAACACCGGUGGCGAAGGCGGCGUUCUGGACUGCUACUGACACUGAGGAACGAAAGCCAGGGGAGCAAACGGG